rnacentral:rRNA from 1 species
GACAGAGGGGGCAAGCGUUGCUCGGAAUCACUGGGCGUAAAGCGCGUGUAGGCGGCUAAGUAAGUCGGGCGUGAAAUCCCGACGGCUCAACCGUGGAAGUGCACUCGAAACUGCAUAGCUAGAGUCCUGGAGAGGAGACUGGAAUUCCUGGUGUAGCGGUGAAAUGCGCAGAUAUCAGGAGGAACACCGAUGGCGAAGGCAGGUCUCUGGGCCACUACUGACGCUGAGAAGCGAAAGCAUGGGGAGCGAACAGG